rnacentral:lncRNA from 1 species
GACGGGCUCCCGGGUCAGAAGAUGGGGAAGGCAGAAGCAGGAGGCCCUGGCGGCAGGAGUCCACAGCUGGGAAGGAGGAGAGAAUGAAACGCAGCCUGAAGACAAUGGCUGAGACAGCAGGUCCCACCCUGCGCAGCCCCGCCUCGGCUGCAAGCCGGGUCUGCACCCAAGGCUGCUAAGGCCCAGGAAAGAACCACCCCCAAACCAAUCUCUGAAAAUCAGGUGACUGUGGACGGUUGAAGGUGGGAGAGAUCAACAGGACGAAGGUUAGAGCUAGAGUUGGUAUCUGCUGAGCCUAAAAAGUCCCCCCAUCCACUCGGGGUCCCCUCCCUACUGCCAAGUCCCCGCCUUCGUCUCCCCAGCUCCCAGCCAGGCAGGGAAGGGGCCCAAGGCAGCUGCAGGGGCUGUGUUAGUAAACACUCUCCUGGGUUCCUGUUUCCUGCACACACACACCCCCUUCUCCACUCCCCCCAUGCCCUGUUACACCGCCCCCCCCAGCAUCCCUUUUCUGUGGCCUGUACAAUGAGCCCAUUGUCCCCAGUGUGAUUUGAAUAAGGGAUCGGGCGGCCCUGUUCCCAGCAUUGUCCGAGGGGCUGGGAAAAACCCCAGCACAGGCAGGAGGACCAGACCAGACAGAGACAGAUGCCUAAAUUAGCAACAAAGCUUUGUGCACGUCCCCUGGACAAGGGCUCGCCUUGUUUGCGUGGGCUCGAGGGUGUGGAGCUGGCGGCUGCCCGCCCGGCUCCCAUGUUAAUUAGUUCUGCAUGCAUGUCUGAGAAGGUGCCAGUGGAGAUGUGUUUGCCUUUCCGCUGCAGGGAGGAGCUCUGCUUGUGGCUGGCCAGCGGCCUGGGGUCUGCGGAGCCGAGCAGCUGGGCCCCCAGAGAAGUGUGUAGUUCCCGCCGUGUGGCCGUGGAUAUGAGCAUGGGCGUGCAGUGUGCCAGCGAGGAAGGCGCCGCUGGUCUCAAGGCCAGGCCUCCAGAGACCUCCGCUGGACACCCCUCGAUGGCCCUGGGAAGCGUGACGGGACAGCCUCUUUUCAGCUUUUCUGAAAAUGGAGACACUCCGGAAUCACGGGUCUUGCCAAGGUCACUGCCUGGAAUACAGACCGGAGCUGGCCUAGGACAAGCGCGGUCAGAAGAGGGAAGUCGCGUGGACAGGAGAAUGCGGUCACCAUCCUGCGGCCGUGGAAGCCAGGGACCAGGAUGGAGGCGGCUGCCCUCCCUCUCCUUCCUGCAGGGGCCCACGCCUUUGGCCGGUUGGCGAAGGGCCCCUCCGCCGUUUGCGCCGUCCUCACCUCGCCGGCCUGUGGGAUGCUCCGGCCAGGCCUCUGGCAAGCAGAACCUCUUCGCUGUCCACAUUUCCACCCCAGAGGCAGUGGGGCAGGAUGCGGGGAGGCUGCCAGAGCUGGCGCUCCAGGCUUCCAGGAGUUAA